rnacentral:tRNA from 4 species
CCGGUGGCUCAGUUGGUUAGAGCGCCGCCCUGUCACGGCGGAGGUCGACGGUUCGAAUCCGUUCCG